AAGGCAUUAGUAAAAUGCAAAUUACACCACCUUGUCAAGGUGGAGUUGCAGGUUAGAUCCCUGCACGCCUUG
rnacentral:tRNA from 1 species